CGCUCUUUGAUAUUUUAAUAUAAAGAGUUGUACCUGCUCAAUGACAAUUGUUAAAUAGCCGCGGUACCCUGACCGUGCGAAGGUAGCAUAAUCAUUUGCCUUUUAAUUGGAGGCUGGAAUGAAUGGUUUGACGAGAGCUUUACUGUCUUUUUAUUUUUGAUUAUAAAUUAAUUUUUAUGUGAAGAAGCAUAAAUAUUUAAAAGGGACGAGAAGACCCUGUUGAGCUUGAGUUUUUAUUUAAAGUAUUGUUGAUAUAUUUAUAGAAUUAUUACUUAAGUAUAUUUUAGUUGGGGCAACUGAGGAGAUAUAAAUAACCUCCUGAUUAUAGUUUAAGAGUUAUUGCUAUUGAUCCAUUAGUUUAUGAUUAGUAGAUAUAGUUACCACAGGGAUAACAGCGUAAUCUUUUCUGAGAGUUCUAAUCGAAGAAGAGGGUUGCGACCUCGAUGUUGGACUAAGGGUUCUUGGAGGUGUAGCCGCUUCUAGAGUGAGUCUGUUCGACUCUUAAAACCUUACA
rnacentral:rRNA from 1 species